rnacentral:rRNA from 1 species
AUUGAACGCUGGCGGCAGGCCUAACACAUGCAAGUCGAGCGAGCGGCGGACGGGUGUGUAAUGUCUGGGAACCUGCCAGAUGGCGGGGGAUAACUACUGGAAACGGUGGCUAAUACCGCAUACCAUCAGAUGAUCCAAGAUGGGAUUAGCUAGUAGGUGGGGAAAAGGCUCACCUAGGCGACGAUCCCUAGCUGGUCUGAGAGGAUGACCGGCCACACUGGAACUGAGACACGGCCCAGACUCCUACGGGAGGCAGCAGUGGGGAAUAUGGCACAAUGGGCGAAAGCCUGACGGAGCCACGCCGCGUGAGUGAAGAAGGCCUUCGGGUUGUAAAGCACUUUCAGUAGGGAGGCGUUACCGACAGAGGAAGCACCGGCUAACUCCGUGCCAGCAGCCGCGGUAAUUC